rnacentral:tRNA from 1 species
UAAAGUGGCCGAGAUUUUAGGCGGUGGAUUGUAAAUCUUCUAACAGAGUCAUACUCUCUUUAUUAAU